rnacentral:rRNA from 1 species
GACGAACGCUGGCGGCGUGCUUAACACAUGCAAGUCGAACGGAAAGGCCCUGCUUUUGUGGGGUGCUCGAGUGGCGAACGGGUGAGUAACACGUGAGUAACCUGCCCUUGACUUUGGGAUAACUUCAGGAAACUGGGGCUAAUACCGGAUAGGAGCUCCUGCUGCAUGGUGGGGGUUGGAAAGUUUCGGCGGUUGGGGAUGGACUCGCGGCUUAUCAGCUUGUUGGUGGGGUAGUGGCUUACCAAGGCUUUGACGGGUAGCCGGCCUGAGAGGGUGACCGGCAACAUUGGGACUGAGAUACGGACCAGAGUCCUACGGGAGGCAGCAGUGGGGAAUAUUGCACAAUGGGCGGAAGCCUGAUGCAGAAAAGCCGCGUGCGGGAUGACGGCCUUCGGGUUGUAAACCGCUUUCGCCUGUGACGAAGCGUGAGUGACGGUAAUGGGUAAAGAAGCACCGGCUAACUACGUG